rnacentral:lncRNA from 1 species
GAGUUUCAGAAUACAAAGAGAUAUGUUCGAAUGUCUCUUUUAGUUUGACGGAUACACGUUUUCAAAAUUGCUACAAGUUAUGUAGGUUCUUUUGAAAUGCGUUAUGUCCGAUUUGAUAUAGAAAGGCCAUGAAGCAAAAUGCAUCACAUGGAUCAUUAGACAGAUUGCUUUGCCGAAAUGAAUGAAGAUUAAUGCUGGAUGAACUGAAGACAUAAAUGAACUUUCGUAUUAGUAGUUUAAUCUAAAGUUACUUUAAAUCUAUUUAAAAAAUUGUUGUGUGUACGAAUUUUAAUUGUAAAAUGAACAUGAUGUUUGUAAUUAUAAAAAAAAAUGCACGCAUAUAUUAC